UACGUAGGGGGCGAGCGUUGUCCGGAUUUAUUGGGCGUAAAGAGCGUGUAGGCGGUUCGGUAAGUCUGUCGUGAAAUCCUGAGGCUCAACCUCGGGCGUGCGAUGGAUACUGCCGGGCUAGAGGGUGGUAGAGGCGAGUGGAAUUCCCGGUGUAGCGGUGAAAUGCGUUGAUAUCCUAAGGAACACCGGUGGCGAAAGCGGCUCACUGGAUCUCUUCUGACGCUGAGGCACGAAAGCUAGGGUAGCGAACGGG
rnacentral:rRNA from 1 species